AUGGCUACGCCCUCGAAGGCUAGCGGAUCGCGAUCCAAAGCUCCUGAAGAUCCUAGUGUUUUAUUGAAACAUUUGCAUCUCAAGGAGCAUGAGUUGGGUAAUCUAGUUUGGGAAUAAGAAGCGGACGAACCAGAUGAGAAACCAAAGUGGCCUGCGCUGGCUAGGGUUUUGACGAACAAAUCCUUUGGGCAGGGGGUGUUGAUUGCCGACAUGAAAGCGGCUUGGAACCCUGCCAAGGAGAUGGUUUGGAGAAGGAUUAACCCUAACAUGUUUUCGGUACAAUUUAAUUGUCUAGCAGACUGGAAUAAGGCGCUCCAUGAUGGUCCUUGGGAUUUCAGGGGCAUGGCUCAUUGCUGA
rnacentral:rRNA from 1 species